GAUGAACGCUGGCGGCGUGCUUAACACAUGCAAGUCGAACAAUGAAGCCCAGCUUGCUGGGUGGAUUAGUGGCGAACGGGUGAGUAACACGUGAGCAACCUGCCCCUGACUCUGGGAUAAGCGCUGGAAACGGCGUCUAAUACUGGAUAUGUCCCGUCACCGCAUGGUGUGCGGGUGGAAAGAUUUUUCGGUUGGGGAUGGGCUCGCGGCCUAUCAGCUUGUUGGUGAGGUAAUGGCUCACCAAGGCGUCGACGGGUAGCCGGCCUGAGAGGGUGACCGGCCACACUGGGACUGAGACACGGCCCAGACUCCUACGGGAGGCAGCAGUGGGGAAUAUUGCACAAUGGGCGGAAGCCUGAUGCAGCAACGCCGCGUGAGGGAUGACGGCCUUCGGGUUGUAAACCUCUUUUAGCAGGGAAGAAGCGAAAGUGACGGUACCUGCAGAAAAAGCACCGGCUAACUACGUG
rnacentral:rRNA from 1 species